AUGGCUCCGGCGCGGCCCCGUCCCGGCGUGUGCCGCAGCCCCCGCCCCGCGCCCCCAGCCCGGCUCUGCCCUGCCCUGCCCUGCCCCCGCCUCGCCAUCCCCGCGGCUCCGCUCCGCGCCGGCUCCUGCGAGCAAAGUUUGCAGCGCAGCCCCGCUGGGGGUGCCCCCCCCUCCGUGCGGCGGGGCUGCACCGCCUGGGGGGGGGACGGGGACACCGGGGGGGGCCGGCUGCCGGCUCGGCUCGGCCUGGCCUCCCCUCCCCUCCGUGCCCCCGGCCCCGCCGCCAGGCCGCGGAGGGCAGCGGGGGCACGGCCAGGGCAGGGCCGGUUCGGCUCCGCCGCGCACCCCCGGCUCGCCCCGAUCCGACCCGACCCGGCCCGGCUCGGCUCGGGGGCGGUCACGCCGGGCUCGCCCCGGUCAUUGUGUGCAGGAGGCUGCGGCCGCCCCCCCGCAGCCGCCGGUGGCACGGCCCCGCCGCUUUGUAAGGCGCCGCUUUGUGCCUCCGAGCCCCCCCCCCCCGGCCCCCGCUCACCUUCCCCGCGGGCGGCGGGGCCGCUCCAUGGGGCGGCGGGGGCAGAGCCUGGGGCAGAGCCCGCGGCGCUGCCCGGCGGGGCUGGGGCCGAGGCCGGGAGCGGGGCCGGGCGCGGUGCAGUGAGCGGGGCUGCCACUGGGGUCAGGGAGCAGGCACCAGGAAACACGGCGGCCACGGAGCGCUGCUCGCACGCACACACACACACACACACACACACACGACGCGGCUCCUCCCGCCGCCUUGCACUUCACCCCCCCGGGCAGGGAGGCAGGCAGGCAGGGAGGAAUCGCUGCUGCAUUUCGUCUCCCAAGUGCGGCAGAGCCUCCCCCCGCCCAGCCCGGCCGCACAGGCCGCCCCGAGCAGCGGCCGGGCGCGGAGCCGCAGCCCCGGGGCUCGACCCCAGCCUCAGCCCGGGCAGAGGGGGCCGGGGGGCGAUGUGUAGGGGUGAGGGGAGCGGCCCCACAGCCCCCGCGGGGCUCCAGGCGGGCAGCGCCUCCCCGCAGCCGGCUCCUGCGGUGGCUGAGCCAACCCCCGCCGGGAGGGAAAAAGCAGCGCACAGCAGCGGUACCCGGAGUACCCUUUGGGAUGAGGAUACUCCAACGCCCUGGGGAUAUGCUCAGCCAGGGAAUGCCCUAACCUAAAAAAACAGCACCUCAGAAGGAAGCACCAUCACACCACCUCCUCUUCAAGCUAGGUCUUCCCCACAAAGAGAGAAAGUCGCUAUCCUGUGUUCCUGUCUCAGCCCAGCAAGAGCCACAGACAGAUUCACCACAUCCAAGGAAGGUGCGGUAGAACUCGCAGAAUCCCUGGCUGCAUCCAACCCCUUGUUUGAGUUUGGAUUCAGUGUUAGCUCUCAGCCUGAUUUGUGGUGGGUCGUUGAUUUUUAUUUGGUCACAAGUAUCCUGGGACACGUUUUCUGACCUUGCUGUGUAUUCACACUGAAAAUACAAUUGAUGAUGUUAAUAAUAGUAAUAAUAAACAUUUAUUCCUAGGUUAUGAAUCAUGUAGUUGCAUGAUGUGGGUCGCAAUGCUUCCUGCAAUCUAUCUUAUUUAAUACUGAAAGAAAUAGAUAUGAAUACCAGUUUACCUGUUCUGCUAGGAAACAAUGCUGGGGAGACCAAUUUCCCUCAUCUUUAUCCCCAAAGAACAACAAAGACAGCAAAAAAGGGUUAGCCCUGUGGAGUAAAAGGUGUCCCAAUGUCAUUGUUGCAUGCAAAGAUCAGAUAAGCACCUGGUUUGUUCUGUCUGUGAAGACAGCUUUAUCCAAAUAAAGCAUAGUGCAUUUUAUCAUUCUGUAAUGGAAAAGACCUGUCACUCUUUGAAUAUCAUCAUAUGGUCGGUGGCCGGCAGAUAAUGGACUGUUAAGUGUCAAGGUGACUGGCUUUGAAUGUGCACAAAACUAAAAAUUAUAGACCUGUCAUUCCAUAGGCAGGCCACAAUUAGCUGUCUAUGCAACUUGAAAUUUCCAUUUUGCCAGAUGAAUGAUCAAUUGGCUACACUUUCUCAAUAUAGAUGCAUUUUUAGUUUUUUUGCACUCAGGAUUUUAUCUUUUUAAUAAGGUUUUUCAAACAACUGUGCAGUGCACUUAAGCAGAUGGGGUUACAAGUGAGCCGCACAGUUGUCGUCUCCCCAAACACAUACACAAAGACAGUCACAAGUAUUUUAUAAUCAACACUUUUUACAUUAAUUUCCUCUAGCCAUACUCUUGCCUAUAAUGUUUUUGUCAAGGAUAUGACGCUAUGGAACACAAGCUACAGAAAAUUCACAGCUUCAGAGUUCACAGCUGUUUGUUUUGAUUACCAAGGUAAUAAUUUUUCUACAUUUUGCCAUCAGUCUACCCUCACAUAGUUAAUAUAUGAGAUGUGAGCUAAUGGUACUAUGAGUUAGAAAUGAAAUGUUUCCAAUUGUCACCUUCUAAAAGGAAAUGCACUUUUUUCUUGGAGACAUUUUUCUCUAUAUGGCUUACUAAAACCAUUUUAAGGUGGUUUGGGCAGGGGCCUUAUUUUAUGCUGCUAAAGCUGCACAAGCUACCACGGUGAUACAUCAGUGAUGACUCUUACACAACCUUAUUUGAAAAGAAACAAACCACACAAUCAAAAAAGUUCAGAGUCCCGUGAUGUAUAUCAAUGUACGUACCAUAACCCUUUUCGUCCUGGACAACUAGCAGUAAUUUGCUUUCUUUCAGGCUGCCUGCCUUUGCGGAAGAAACUGCAUAACAUGGCGCCUGACUGUGAGAACGGGAUUACAAAAUGGCGGCCUUGGUAACUUCAUGGUUUGUAAACAGCACAGUAUCAAGCCAAUGCUGCCUCAGUGUAGUUCUAAAAUUAAAAAAGUGCCUUAAAGCUAUACCUGCAACUGCACAUAGUGUUACUGCACCUCUCCAUUCCCUUUUUUUUUUUUUUUUUUUUUAAAUAAACUCAGCCUGAUUUGUACCACAUGACGGGCAGAAUUCCUACUACCCGAUGUGGAAACGCUACACACAGGUUCUGUCCAAAGCCAUUUGCAAUAAAGGAAAGGCAUCUGGGAUCGUCACCAGACUUUGAAUCAGGCUGCAAUAUGUAGACUUGUAUCUUUACAGUACUUCCUACAUUGACAGAGCCCUCACAUGCAGUCCUGGAAGCUACACAGGGAUACUUUGGCAGUCUAACGAGGGCUGUUGAG
rnacentral:lncRNA from 1 species